rnacentral:rRNA from 1 species
GACGAACGCUGGCGGCGUGCCUAAUACAUGCAAGUAGAACGCACAGUUUAUACCGUAGCUUGCUACACCAUAAACUGUGAGUUGCGAACGGGUGAGUAACGCGUAGGUAACCUGCCUGGUAGCGGGGGAUAACUAUUGGAAACGAUAGCUAAUACCGCAUAAUAUUGAUUAUUGCAUGAUAAUUGAUUGAAAGAUGCUAUUGCAUCACUACCAGAUGGACCUGCGUUGUAUUAGCUAGUAGGUGAGGUAACGGCUCACCUAGGCGACGAUACAUAGCCGACCGGAGAGGAUGAUCGGCCAGACUGGGACUGAGACACGGCCCAGACGCCUACGGGAGGCAGCAGUAGGGAAUCUUCGGCAAUGGACGAAAGUCUGACCGAGCAACGCCGCGGGAGUGAAGAAGGUUGUCGGAUCGUAAAGCUCUGUUGUAAGAGAAGAACGGGUGUGAGAGUGGAAAGUUCACACUGUGACGGUAGCUUACCAGAAAGGGACGGCUAACUACGUG